AACAUCGCGCACCUGCGGGAACCUGCGGAAGGAUCAUUAAUGAUUGGUGGCUGUUGCUGACUAGUGUUUCUAGUAUGUGCACGCCACACCUUCAAUCCCACUUACACCUGUGCACCUUCUGUAAUAGAUCUAUGUGGAUACGGAGAUAUGAAAGUUUGCGCUCUCGUGCUCUGUUGAAGCAGUCUACUACGUUUUUUUACACACACACAAUAGUCAUUGAAUGUAUUUUUUAUUCUUAUG
rnacentral:misc_RNA from 1 species